UCGAAAGUUGUCCUAAUUUACAUAAGAAAGUAAACAGAUAUAAAAAAGCAGGAAUUAAAAUAGAAAAUAUUUAAAGCUUCUCGAGUUCUUCUGUGUUGAAAUCACUGGGUUGUGGAACCUGUUCAUGAGGGAGCCCUUUAACGCCUUCCUCCAUUUUCACGUUUUCCUUCUCAUCUUCACUUUCUCUAAAAGCGUGUUUCCUUUCAUCUCCAACUGUAGGCUUAUGGCCGACUUCCUUGAUUGAAUUCUUUGGUCUUUUCCUCCAUUUCCAUGGCUAUAUUUUCCAUUAAAUGCGACUCUCUCUCUCUCUAAUGAGAAAAAUGAUAGUCU
rnacentral:lncRNA from 1 species